UACGAAGGGGGCUAGCGUUGCUCGGAAUCACUGGGCGUAAAGCGCACGUAGGCGGCUUCUUAAGUCAGGGGUGAAAUCCUGGAGCUCAACUCCAGAACUGCCUUUGAUACUGAGAAGCUUGAGUCCGGGAGAGGUAAGUGGAACUGCGAGUGUAGAGGUGAAAUUCGUAGAUAUUCGCAAGAACACCAGUGGCGAAGGCGGCUCACUGGCCCGGUACUGACGCUGAGGCGCGAAAGCGUGGGGAGCAAACAGG
rnacentral:rRNA from 1 species